UACGUAGGGGGCUAGCGUUGUCCGGAAUCAUUGGGCGUAAAGAGCGUGUAGGCGGCCCGGUAAGUCCGCUGUGAAAGUCGGGGGCUCAACCUCGAAUGCCGGUGGAUACUGUCGGGCUAGAGUGCGGAAGAGGCGAGUGGAAUUCCUGGGUGAUAGCGGUGAAAUGCGCAGAUAUCAGGAGGAACACCAAUUGCGAAGGCAGCUCGCUGGGACGUAACUGACGCUGAGACGCGAAAGCGUGGGGAGCAAACAGG
rnacentral:rRNA from 1 species